rnacentral:rRNA from 1 species
CGUAGGUGCGAGCGUUAAUCGGAAUUACUGGGCGUAAAGCGUGCGCAGGCGGUUAUGUAAGACAGAUGUGAAAUCCCCGGGCUCAACCUGGGAACUGCAUUUGUGACUGCAUGACUGGAGUGCGGCAGAGGGGGAUGGAAUUCCGCGUGUAGCAGUGAAAUGCGUAGAUAUGCGGAGGAACACCGAUGGCGAAGGCAAUCCCCUGGGCCUGCACUGACGCUCAUGCACGAAAGCGUGGGAGCAAACAGGAUU